AGUGAACGCUGGCGGUAGGCCUAACACAUGCAAGUUGAACGGCAGCACAGGAGAGCUUGCUCUCUGGGUGGCGAGUGGCGGACGGGUGAGGAAUACAUCGGAAUCUACUCUGUCGUGGGGGAUAACGUAGGGAAACUUACGCUAAUACCGCAUACGACCUACGGGUGAAAGCAGGGGACCUUCGGGCCUUGCGCGAUUGGAUGAGCCGAGGUCGGAUUAGCUAGUUGGCGGGGUAAAGGCUCACCAAGGCGACGAUCCGUAGCUGGUCUGAGAGGAUGAUCAGCCACACUGGAACUGAGACACGGUCCAGACUCCUACGGGAGGCAGCAGUGGGGAAUAUUAGACAAUGGGCGCAAGCCUGAUCCAGCCAUACCGCGUGGGUGAAGAAGGCCUUCGGGUUGUAAAGCCCUUUUGUUGGGAAAGAAAUCCAGCUGGCUAAUACCCGGUUGGGAUGACGGUACCCAAAGAAUAAGCACCGGCUAACUUCGUGCCAGCCGCCGCAGUAA
rnacentral:rRNA from 1 species